rnacentral:rRNA from 1 species
GAUGAACGCUAGCGGCAGGCCUAACACAUGCAAGUCGAGGGGUAGAACACUUCGGUGUUUGAGACCGGCGCACGGGUGCGUAACGCGCAUGCAAUCUACCUUAUACAGGGGAAUAGCCCAGAGAUAUUUGGAUUACUGCCCCAUAGCAUUACGACUUAGCAUUAAUAUGUAAUUAAAGUUCCAACGGUAUAACAUGAGCAUGCGUACCAUCAGUUAGUUGGUAAGGUAACGGCUUACCAAGACGAAGAUGGGUAGGGGUCCUGAGAGGGAGAUCCCCCACACUGGUACUGAGACACGGACCAGACUCCUACGGGAGGCAGCAGUGAGGAAUAUGGGUGAAUGGUCGCAAGACUGAACCAGCCAUGCCGCGUGCAGGAAGACGGUCCUAUGGAUUGUAAACUGCUUUUAUACAGGAAGAACCCCUCCCACGUGUGGGAGAUUGACGGUACUGUAGGAAUAAGGAUCGGCUAACUCCGUGCCAGCCGCCGCAGUAACAC